GAUUGAAUUGAACAUGAAUCUGUGAACUAUCUUCUAGUCCAGUAAGUAUGUAUUAGUACAUGUAUGAAAAUUUUGGCAUCAAACACUUGACAUGAUUUGCAGGUAUAGCUGAGAAUAAUGAUCCAACACUGUCAUUAGAUGAAACACUCAAGGAUAUGCACAGAUUUAAAUUUCAUCAUGAUCAUCUGUCAUAUCUCCCAUCAGCAAUUAGACAUAUAUAAGGAUCGGUGUAAACGUAAAAUGAUAUCUUGCAUGGUCGUUAUUGGACAAUUUUAAAUAGAUUGACGGUUAUGAAGUGAGGUUUGGAAUGAACUUCGUAGACUACAACAAUAACUUGACAAGAUAUCAAAAGCUACAGGCACAACUGUUCAAGAGUUUUCUUGCUAGAACUUAGACUUUCUAAUAUAUAUGUCCCUCUAAUGCAAUGAGAUUCAUAAAAUAAAUAUGUACAAAGUAGUUACAUAUGAUUGUUCUUUCUCCAAAGAAACUAUGUGACUCAUUAUAUUAUGAUUUUUGUGCAUAUUUAGUAUUUUCUCUUA